rnacentral:tRNA from 1 species
GCCCGGCUAGCUCAAUCGGUACAGCGUGAGACUCUUAAGGAGUAUCUCCAAAAUCUCCAGAGAUCAUCUCAAGGUUGUGGGUUCGACCCCCACGUCGGGCU